rnacentral:rRNA from 1 species
AUGAAGGAAGUCAUGAGGCACCAUUUUGUUCCAUCAUACUACGAGAGGCAAUUGUACAAGCGGCUGCAGGGGCUCACUCAAGGUUCCUGCACUGUUGAGGAGUACUAUAAAGAGAUGGAGGUGCUGCUAAUUCGCACAAGAACCCGUGAAAGUGAUGAGGCGAAGAUGGCAAGAUUUUUACUUGGGCUGAAUGAUGAAAUAUCAGAUUUUGUGGAGAUGUUUCCUUAUGAUACAUUACAAGAAGUGCGAGCACAACAGCCAUAUGGUUCUCAGUUUGAGGGUGCACCACCUAGACACCCACAUGCCUCGAUGGCUUCCUCACCUUCUAUUCACAAUGAAGAUAAGAGGUCAUCAGCUACAGCAGGAGUAUCCUCUGCUCCACCUCCAGAAAAGAGUUCUACACGCAGCAGCGGCAUUCAAUGCCACCAGUGCAAAGGAAGAGGUCAUAUUUCUUUGGAAUGUCCAAGCAAAAAACUUUCAUCAUCAAUGAACGAGGUGAAUGGGAAUCUGAAAGUGACCCUGAAGGUGGAAAUGAUGGAGUGGAAGAGGAGCAAGGUUGGGAAGUAG